AGAGUUUGAUCCUGGCUCAGAGCGAACGCUGGCGGCAGGCCUAACACAUGCAAGUCGAGCGGGCAUCGCAAGAUGUCAGCGGCAGACGGGAGAGUAACACGUGGGAACAUGCCCUUCGGUUCGGAAUAACUCAGGGAAACUUGAGCUAAUACCGGAUACGUCCGUAAGGAGAAAGAUUUAUCGCCGAAGGAUUGGCCCGCGUCCGAUUAGCUAGUUGGUGAGGUAACGGCUCACCAAGGCGACGAUCGGUAGCUGGUCUGAGAGGAUGAUCAGCCUCACUGGGACUGAGACACGGCCCAGACUCCUACGGGAGGCAGCAGUGGGGAAUAUUGGACAAUGGGCGCAAGCCUGAUCCAGCCAUGCCGCGUGGGUGAUGAAGGCCCUAGGGUUGUAAAGCCCUUUCGGCGGGGAAGAUAAUGACGGUACCCGCAGAAGAAGCCCCGGCUAACUUCGUGCCAGCAGCCGCGGUAAUACGAAGGGGGCUAGCGUUGCUCGGAAUCACUGGGCGUAAAGCGCACGUAGGCAGAUUGUUAAGUCAGGGGUGAAAUCCUGGAGCUCAACUCCAGAACUGCCUUUGAUACUGGCGAUCUUGAGU
rnacentral:rRNA from 1 species